GAUGAACGCUGGCGGUAUGCUUAACACAUGCAAGUCGAACGGACUCUUCGGAGUUAGUGGCGGACGGGUGAGUAACGCGUGAGAAUCUGGCUUUGGGUUCGGGACAACCACUGGAAACGGUGGCUAAUACCGGAUGUGCCGAGAGGUAAAAGAGAAAUUGCCUGAAGAUGAGCUCGCGUCUGAUUAGCUAGUUGGUGAGGUAAAGGCUCACCAAGGCAGCGAUCAGUAGCUGGUCUGAGAGGAUGACCAGCCACACUGGGACUGAGGCACGGCCCAGACUUCUUCCGGAGGGCGCAGUGGGGAAUUUUUCGGCAAUGGCGGAAACCUUGCCGGGAAAUUCCGCCGUGGGGAAGGAGGCUCUUGGGGUGUAAACCUCUUUUCUUAGGGGAGAACCAAAUUGCGGGAACUAAGGAAUCAGCAUCGGCUAACUCCGUG
rnacentral:rRNA from 1 species